AUGUGCUUGAGUAACCUGAGUUUUUUCUCAGGUUCUUAAGGAAGUCUUAUAAUACUUUGAAGUGAAAUUCUCAGCUUGAAAGCUUAGGGUGAAAUUAAGAAGAUAAGUACAUCUAAAAGGCUUUGGCAGGAGAACCUAAUUUUACUAAAAAUGAGCUGAUUGAAAAGGGGCUGGACCAGAAACAGACAGAUACAAGAAACAGACAGAUACCUGGGUUAUUCUCCCAGGUAAGAAUAACCACACUUGCUGGACUGAUUUCAACCUUUACCAUCAGGUGAAAAAAAAUGGCUGAAGCACCGGUACAGAACUUAUCAUCCUCCAAUGAUACAAUAAACUUUCAUAAAAAUUUUGACUGUACUGUAGAAUACUUGGAGGUCAGGCUUUGGCUAUGGUGUUGCUGUGUUGGCUUCAUCCUGGGGAUUCCAGCAUGUCUGGUGGUUCUGCGAGAGCUUUUCCAGCGACAUCAACAAGGCACAUGCAAUGAUUUCUUCAUGUGGAACCUUUACUUCAUUGAUCUGAUCUUUACUGCCAUGCUUCUGCUUGCGGCCUGCAAUGCGAUGGUUUUGAAAAACAUGAGUAUUUAUGGUUUCAUCAGCUUCAUCCACUGUUUGCCUAUGUGUGGAAGACCUCUGUUUAUGGCUUGCAUUUGCGGCGACUGUUAUUUUGCUGUGGUUCACCCUAUAAUAUACAAAACGAGUAAGAAGGCAAAUGUAAUUAGAAAGGCAGUCACUUUGAUGGUCUGGUGUGUCAUAGUUUGUUUCGGGGCGCUCUUAAUCUCUGUACAAUCAAUGUACACUAGUUCAUUGAUCUCUGCACCAUUGAGCGUGGCCCUCCCAGUCAUAACAUUUUGUAAUGUUUCUAUACUCCAUGCUCUGCGAAAACCAGAUCCAUCCGGAAACAAAAACAUACAUCCGCAGAAAAGACAAGCUCUCUACACUGUCUUCAGCAGCUUGACCAUGACGCUCAUUGAUUAUCUUCCGCCAGUGAUCAUUUUCUUACUUUCGGAAGUGCUGCAAAUAAGCAAAGAAGUAUUUUUCUGCCAUUUGACCGUUUUGGGGAUAAGCUUCUACAUUGUGGGAUGUGUCACUAUGCCGCUUCUUUAUCUGAACAGCGUGGGUAAAAUGAAUUAUUUUAAAUCAUGUCUGAAGAAAAAUGUCAGGAGGUGAAGUUUUUUUUUAAUGUUUAUGUUUAUGACACCAGUUUGUACUGUUUAAAUGUAAUUUAUAUCUCUCAGUGCUUGAUUAUGUCCACAGAGAUAAAUGAAUAAGCUAAUAAGCAAAUAAGCUUUGCUAAAUAAGCAAAUUUGAUGGUUUUAUUUAAAUUCUAACAUGCUCAUAAUUUCUCUAGUAACAAUGAACAUCUUGUGGAUUGAGAACCGAAAGGACUUUCCUUUUCAUCGCUUGCUGUGACUACUUCAAAUAUGAAAUAUUUCAUUUAAAUGUCUGAUUAAUGGGUUCAUAUUUUACCGGGAUUUUCAUAAUAUCAUCAGUGAUGUAUUUGACAACCUUUUUUCAGUGUAAAUGUUCAACACCUGCAUUAAGCGAAAGUCGAUCAGCUUUGCAUAAUGCUGUUUAGUUUUCACCAUUUUUCUCAAUUUUUUUUGAAGAAAAAACAUUUGAGUGCUGUUUUGUUUACAUAUUUUACUGUUUGCUUAUGUACAAAUGUUUCACGCUUUUAAUAAAUUUUUGUUAUUGA